AGCGGCGGAUGGGUGAGUAACACGUGGGGAACCUGCCCCUAAGUCUGGGAUACCAUUUGGAAACAGGUGCUAAUACCGGAUAAUAAAGCAGAUCGCAUGAUCAGCUUUUGAAAGGCGGCGUAAGCUGUCGCUAAGGGAUGGCCCCGCGGUGCAUUAGCUAGUUGGUAAGGUAACGGCUUACCAAGGCGACGAUGCAUAGCCGAGUUGAGAGACUGAUCGGCCACAUUGGGACUGAGACACGGCCCAAACUCCUACGGGAGGCAGCAGUAGGGAAUCUUCCACAAUGGACGCAAGUCUGAUGGAGCAACGCCGCGUGAGUGAAGAAGGUUUUCGGAUCGUAAAGCUCUGUUGUUGGUGAAGAAGGAUAGAGGUAGUAACUGGCCUUUAUUUGACGGUAAUCAACCAGAAAGUCACGGCUAACUACGUGCCAGCAGCCGCGGUAAUACGUAGGUGGCGAGCGUUGUCCGGAUUUAUUGGGCGUAAAGCGAGCGCAGGCGGAAAAAUAAGUCUAAUGUGAAAGCCCUCGGCUUAACCGAGGAACUGCAUCGGAAACUGUUUUUCUUGAGUGCAGAAGAGGAGAGUGGAACUCCAUGUGUAGCGGUGGAAUGCGUAGAUAUAUGGAAGAACACCAGUGGCGAAGGCGGCUCUCUGGUCUGCAACUGACGCUGAGGCUCGAAAGCAUGGGUAGCGAACAGGAUUAGAUACCCUGGUAGUCCAUGCCGUAAACGAUGAGUGCUAAGUGU
rnacentral:rRNA from 1 species